rnacentral:rRNA from 1 species
UCAAAGGAAUUGGACGGGGCCCGCACAAGCGGUGGAGUAUGUGGUUUAAUUCGAUGCAACGCGAAGAACCUUACCUAGGUUUGACAUCCGGAAGACCUUCCCGAAAAGGAAGGGUGCCCUUCGGGGAAUUCCGAGACAGGUGCUGCAUGGCUGUCGUCAGCUCGUGCCGUGAGGUGUUGGGUUAAGUCCCGCAACGAGCGCAACCCUAUUGCCAGUUGCUACCAGGUAAUGCUGGGCACUCUGGUGAGACUGCCCCGGUUAACGGGGAGGAAGGUGGGGACGACGUCAAGUCAUCAUGGCCCUUACGCCUAGGGCUACACACGUACUACAAUGGCGCAUACAAAGGGCAGCGAUACCGCGAGGUGGAGCCAAUCCCAAAAAGUGCGUCCCAGUCCGGAUUGCAGUCUGCAACUCGACUGCAUGAAGUUGGAAUCGCUAGUAAUCGUGAAUCAGAAUGUCACGGUGAAUACGUUCCCGGGCCUU